rnacentral:tRNA from 1 species
GAGGGCAUAGCUCACGUGGUUGAGCACAUGUUUAGCAUGCAUGAGGUCCUGGGUUCAGUCCCCAGUACCUCCU